AGCGAACGCUGGCGGCAGGCCUAACACAUGCAAGUCGAACGAACCUUUCGGGGUUAGUGGCGGACGGGUGAGUAACACGUGGGAACGUGCCUUUAGGUUCGGAAUAACUCAGGGAAACUUGUGCUAAUACCGAAUGUGCCCUUCGGGGGAAAGAUUAAUCGCCUUUAGAGCGGCCCGCGUCUGAUUAGCUAGUUGGUUGAGGUAAUGGCUCACCAAGGCGACGAUCAGUAGCUGGUCUGAGAGGAUGAUCAGCCACAUUGGGACUGAGACACGGCCCAAACUCUACGGGAGGCAGGAGUUGGGAAAUCUGGGGAAUGGGGCAAAGCCUUACCGAGCCAUGGCGGGGGAAUUAAGAAGGGUUUAGGAUUGGAAAAUUCUUUCAACGGGGAAGAUAAUGAAGGUACCCGGAGAAGAAGCCCCGGCUAACUUCGUG
rnacentral:rRNA from 1 species